UACGUAGGUGGCAAGCGUUGUCUGGAAUUAUUGGGCGUAAAGGGCUCGCAGGCGGUUUCUUAAGUCUGAUGUGAAAGCCCCCGGCUCAACCGGGGAGGGUCAUUGGAAACUGGGGAACUUGAGUGCAGAAGAGGAGAGUGGAAUUCCACGUGUAGCGGUGAAAUGCGUAGAGAUGUGGAGGAACACCAGUGGCGAAGGCGGCUCUCUGGUCUGUAACUGACGCUGAGGCGCGAAAACGUGGGGAGCAAACAGG
rnacentral:misc_RNA from 1 species